UAGGUUGAAGCCAGUUGUUUAGGGUGUUUAGCUGUUAACUAAUUUUUCGUGGGAUAAUAGCCCAUCAAUCUAG
rnacentral:tRNA from 1 species